AAGUCGUAACAAGGUUUCCGUAGGUGAACCUGCGGAAGGAUCAUUACUGUAGUUAGUGGUUCGCUUCUACGGCUGUUGGUCUUGGCGUUAGUCCAUUCCAGCGAAGUAGUUUCGAAACUAUAUACCACUACUCACCACUUGUGCACUCGUUAUUGUCUCUGGUAGGAUCACCUAACCGUGCCGUUUGUUACUGUUGUCGUUAGUUUUUUUAACUUUCGCGACUAACAGGCCGCCGGUUACGGCCCUACCGCCUUACUUUAACUAACCAUGUCUUUAAACCAUUGACUUAAACAAACAUCGUUGAGGUCGAAAGGCUUCAAUUAAUAACGAUACAACUUUUGGCAACGGAUCUCUUGGCUCUC
rnacentral:misc_RNA from 1 species